rnacentral:rRNA from 1 species
CCUGAGAGGGUGACCGGCCACACUGGGACUGAGACACGGCCCAGACUCCUACGGGAGGCAGCAGUGGGGAAUAUUGCACAAUGGGCGGAAGCCUGAUGCAGCAACGCCGCGUGAGGGAUGACGGCCUUCGGGUUGUAAACCUCUUUUAGCAGGGAAGAAGCGAAAGUGACGGUACCUGCAGAAAAAGCGCCGGCUAACUACGUGCCAGCAGCCGCGGUAAUACGUAGGGCGCAAGCGUUAUCCGGAAUUAUUGGGCGUAAAGAGCUCGUAGGCGGUUUGUCGCGUCUGCUGUGAAAUCCCGAGGCUCAACCUCGGGCCUGCAGUGGGUACGGGCAGACUAGAGUGCGGUAGGGGAGAUUGGAAUUCCUGGUGUAGCGGUGGAAUGCGCAGAUAUCAGGAGGAACACCGAUGGCGAAGGCAGAUCUCUGGGCCGUAACUGACGCUGAGGAGCGAAAGGGUGGGGAGCAAACAGGCUUAGAUACCCUGGUAGUCCACCCCGUAAACGUUGGGAACUAGUUGUGGGGACCAUUCCACGGUUUCCGUGACGCAGCUAACGCAUUAAGUUCCCCGCCUGGGGAGUACGGGCCGCAAGGCUAAAACUCAAAGGAAUUGACGGGGACCCGCACAAGCGGCGGAGCAUGCGGAUUAAUUUCGAUGCAACGCGAAGAACCUUACCAAGGCUUGACAUACACCAGAACGGGCCAGAAAUGGUCAACUCUUUGGACACUGGUGAACAGGUGGUUGCAUGGUUGUCGUCAGCUCGUGUCGUGAGAUGUUUGGGUUAAGUCCCGCAACGAGCGCA